rnacentral:rRNA from 1 species
UACGUAGGGGGCAAGCGUUGUCCGGAAUCAUUGGGCGUAAAGAGCGUGUAGGCGGCUCGGUAAGUCCGCUGUGAAAGUCCAGGGCUCAACCCUGGAAUGCCGGUGGAAACUGUCGAGCUAGAGUCCGGAAGAGGCGAGUGGAAUCCUGGUGUAGCGGUGAAAUGCGCAGAUAUCAGGAGGAACACCAAUGGCGAAGGCAGCUCGCUGGGACGGUACUGACGCUGAGACGCGAAAGCGUGGGGAGCAAACAGGG